AUUCAACUGACGACCUCCAAAUAGGACGAAACGCGCGUCCUGGAU
rnacentral:hammerhead_ribozyme from 1 species